AUGACAGAGCAGAAGACCCUUUGUGACACUCUUGAAGGCCACAAUACCUGAGUAACCAGAUCGCUACUGCCCUGGACAUGAUACAGUCCACCUCUUGAGACAAAAUCAUCAUCAUGUGGACAUUGAACAGGGACGAAACCAACUAUGGCAUCCCACAGCAUGCCCUGGAGGGUCAUUUCCACUUUGUCUAUGACAAAAUCAUCUCUUCAGGUGGCCACUUUUUCCUCUCAGCCUCCUGAGAUGGAAACCUGUGCUUCUGGGAUCUGACAAAGGGCACCACUAUGAGAUGAUCUGUAGGCCAUACCAAGGACGUGUUGAGUGUGGCCUUCUCCAUUGACAACCUGUAGAUUGUCUCUAGAUCCUGAGAUAAAACCGUCUAGUUAUGGUUAUAACCCUGAGUAUAUACAAAUACACUGUCCAGGUGGAGAGCCACUCAGAGUAGGUGUCUUAUGUCCACUUCUCACCUAACGGCAGCAACACUAUCACCUCUGUAGCUGGGACAAGCUGGUCAAGGUACGGAAUCUGGCUAACUGCAAGCUGAAGAUGAACCACUUUGGCCACACAGUCCAUCUGAACACUGUGACUGUCUCUCCAGAUGGAUCCCUCUGUGCUUCUGGAGGCAAUGCUGGCCAUGCCAUGCCAUGCCAUGCGAUCUCAACAAAGGCAAGCACCUUGAUAUGCUAUGUGGUGGGAAUAUCAUCAAUGCCCUGUGCUUUAGCCUCAACUGCUACUGGUUCUGCGCUACCACAGGCCUCAGCAUCAAGAUCUGGGACUUAGAAGGCAAGACCACCAUAGAAAUUAAGCAAGAAGUUAUCGGAAUCUGCAGCAAGGCAGAGACUCCCCAUUGCACCUCUCUGGUCUGCUGAUGGCCAGACUGCUGGCUACAUAGACAAUCUGGUGCAAGUGUGGCAGGUGGCCAUCAGCACCUGCUAG
rnacentral:lncRNA from 1 species